rnacentral:rRNA from 1 species
AUUGAACGCUGGCGGCAGGCCUAACACAUGCAAGUCGAGCGGAGCGGCGGACGGGUGAGUAAUGCCUAGGAGUCAGCCUGGCCGUGGGGGAUAACGUCCGGAAACGGGCGCUAAUACAGCACACUAUCAGAUGAGUCUGGGCCGGAUUAGCUAGUUGGUGGGGUAAAGGCCGACCAAGGCGACGGUCCGUACCUGGUCUGAGAGGAUGAUCAGUCACACUGGAACUGAGACACGGUCCAGACUCCUACGGGAGGCAGCAGUGGGGAAUAUUGGACAAUGGGCGAAAGCCUGAUCCAGCCAUGCCGCGUGUGUGAAGAAGGUCUUCGGAUUGUAAAGCACUUUAAGCGGGGAGGCGUUACCAACAGAAGAAGCACCGGCUAACUUCGUGCCAGCAGCCGCGGUAAUUC